UACAGAGGUGGCAAGCGUUGUCCGGAUUUAUUGGGCGUAAAGAGCGUGUAGGCGGUCAGGUAGGUCCGUUGUGAAAACUCGAGGCUCAACCUCGAGACGCCGAUGGAAACCAUCUGACUAGAGUCCGGAAGAGGAGAGUGGAAUUCCUGGUGUAGCGGUGAAAUGCGCAGAUAUCAGGAAGAACACCCGUGGCUAAGGCGGCUCUCUAGUACGGUACUGACGCUGAGACGCGAAGGCGUGGGGAGCGAACAGG
rnacentral:rRNA from 1 species